AUGCUGCCCUUAUAAAGAAAGAAAGAAAGAAAGAAAAAUCCAUAAAUAUACAUCAGAAUGUGCUGUAUAAACAAAAAGGUUGAGAAUAUAAGCCUUGACUCGGCAUAUAGUCUUCACACCUGAAAAGUUAUCGCCGACUGCGUCUCUAAAGCUAUUCGGUCGAAAACGAUUGAAAAUUUAAAUCAGUUUUUUUCGGCGCUUUCUCGUGAACCCACCUCCUUCGUUGUUAUUCCGUAGCUAUUAUUAUACGCCCGGUGUGAGCGUAAGGAUGUAUUUUAAAAAAACUGUGGACGUGGUCUACGUAUUUUUUGUUGUUGGUUUCUUUCUAUAUACUUUGCUGUUGCGGAGUGAGACGAACGAGAAUGGAAUGAAGCUCUGCUGAUGGCAAGUUAACGUCGUUCUGGAACCCCCCAAAAUAUUACGGCCUGGGCAGUCCAGGCCACUUCUUGAUUUGCUGCUGGAGGCGAGACACGAGAAAAGAAA